rnacentral:rRNA from 1 species
UACGAAGGGGGCUAGCGUUGCUCGGAAUCACUGGGCGUAAAGGGCGCGUAGGCGGCCAUUUAAGUCGGGGGUGAAAGCCUGUGGCUCAACCACAGAAUUGCCUUCGAUACUGGAUGGCUUGAGUUCGGUAGAGGUUGGUGGAACUGCGAGUGUAGAGGUGAAAUUCGUAGAUAUUCGCAAGAACACCAGUGGCGAAGGCGGCUUACUGGUCCGGUUCUGACGCUGAGGCGCGAAAGCGUGGGGAGCAAACAGG